UUACGGCCAUAUCACGUUGAAAUACUGGUUCUCAUAAGAUCACUUAAGUUAAGCAACAUUAAGCCUGGACAGAAUCUAGAUGGGUGACCGCUUGCGAAUACUAGGUGCU